ACAAGUCAAAAUUUUCAUUAACUCAGUAGUCUUUCACAGAAAGGAAUCUGAGAAUUCUUCCACUCACGAGUAAUGUGUUAAAGAAUGAGAAAAGAGCAUAUGUUUUCCUUGGCUUUUGGGUUAAUACAAUAAAGCCUGUGAAGUUUAACAUAAUUAAAUUAAUGUUGAUAUGCAGUGUGACUUGUUCACAGAGAAAUGGUAUUUGACUUAGAGCUAAUGCCACACCACAGCUGACACACAUCCAUCUGCAAAUGUUGUAUAGAAAGUCUUCUAAGAUCUUCAGAUGGAAGUUCUGUCAAGUAUGUUGGUGGCUCUAAAAAAAGUGGGGUGGAGAAAAGCAGAGAAAGAAGACACAAAGAAAAAACAAAACCGCCAGAAACCUACUAUGUGAAGCAUAUGGCCAAAGUAAGUAAACUACCCUUGUGAGACACCAGGGAGACUGUACUACAAGGUAAAAAGAUAAAAUCACUAAAAGCCACUCCUUACUGUGUACUGGUUAUACGUGUGUAUAAACAAGUUUGGGUAUACCACAGUGACACCAUAUAUCAACUUUUCAUAGACAUAGAUACUGAAAUACAAUUAAACUUUUCCUCUCACUCCAGAGAUUCCUUCUUUCUCGUUUAAAAUCUCCUUUUUAAGACUUACAUUAUUUAUAGAGAAUCAAAAGCUGUAUACAUUACCCAAUCAUUCUAGCAGUUACUUAGAAGGUCCACCAGAAUUUAUUUUCCCUCAAAGGAUCAAAUCACUCUUUUUAAAAAUAAUUAUAUCCAUCUUCUUGUCAAUGGAUGUGUGUUUCCGUCCUGACUCACAUUCAAAAAGUCUAAAUACUAGCA